rnacentral:lncRNA from 1 species
UCUUUUCUUUUUCCAUCUCAGAACCUCAGUUAUAUAAAGGAUGUAAAGUUCAGGGCUUGGUAUCUCACAGCUCCACAGUGCUAUCUCCCUUUGGUCCUCAGAUCUCCUUGGGAGGCCAUUCUCUUUUUCCUGUCAUAGUCCCAGUGGCUCACUUGUUGUAGUCCAGCUGUUGCUGGACUCCCUUUCGCUGUGUUUCAGAAACAUUUUGGUUCGAGCAGGGAGUAAACAGUUCAAUUAAAUCCAGAGCCAGGGGUAAACAGCUUAGCUGGUGUCUCUUUCCCUUAUCAGGCCAGUAAAAGCAAUUCUUGAUAAAAAGCUGGAAUCACAAUAACUGUUACAGCAACUCCCAGGUAAUAACUUCAGAAUCCACAGACUCAAAAACACAGCUGAAGAUGUAAAAAUAAUUUUGGCUAAAAGACUCUAUAUCAAAAAUUAUGUGAAAAGGAGUUAGAUAAAACUACAAAAUUAUAAGCACCAUAUAAAAAGGAGUUAGAUAAAUGGAAAGAGCAAAGGAACAGCAAGGAAGAAAUGCUACUUCCACACCUUACCGGAAAAUCUACAGCUGUUUCUUUCAGUCUGUUCUCUGUGCCAGUAUAGAUGUGAAAAACUUGACUUACAGGUCAGUCACAGUGGGAUACUGAGGUACGUUAGUCCAGUAUCUUCUGAUGAAAGAGGUUAAAAAGCACAUAAUGGAUACAAUUUAUCACAUGACUUCCAUUUGUCACAGGGUUAUUGCCAGCACAACUGUAAUAUAUGUCUGUUCUGCAAAAAAAAAAAAAAAUACACAACUGGUCAGGCAACCUCAGCUAAGCCUCUCUCUCCAAAAUACAAACAACAGUAUUUUAAGCGUGGAUAAAUUAUCUAUCACUUCAAGAAGCAAGAGCAGAUGACAAACAUGAGUCACUUUGAGUUGCCAAAGAGUGGGUUGUGAAUGUAUAGGUGCUUUAGUGAGCUAAAGGGUAGGCUGGAGAGGGCCAUAGUAGUUCUGGUUUAUCCUCCCCAUGCUUCUGUCACAGUCAUGUAAAAAUACUAAUAAAUAUCUAUACCUGCAUCUUUUCCUUCUGGUG